rnacentral:rRNA from 1 species
GGUUAAGCGACUAAGCGUACACGGUGGAUGCCCUGGCAGUCAGAGGCGAUGAAGGGCGUGCUAAUCUGCGAUAAGCGCCGGUAAGGUGAUAUGAACCGUUAUAACCGGCGAUACCCGAAUGGGGAAACCCAGUGUGAUUCGUCACACUAUCAUUAACUGAAUCCAUAGGUUAAUGAGGCGAACCGGGGGAACUGAAACAUCUAAGUACCCCGAGGAAAAGAAAUCAACCGAGAUUCCCCCAGUAGCGGCGAGCGAACGGGGAGGAGCCCAGAGCCUGAAUCAGCAUGUGUGUUAGUGGAAGCGUCUGGAAAGGCGCGCGAUACAGGGUGACAGCCCCGUACACAAAAGCGCAUGUGCUGUGAGCUCGAUGAGUAGGGCGGGACACGUGGUAUCCUGUCUGAAUAUGGGGGGACCAUCCUCCAAGGCUAAAUACUCCUGACUGACCGAUAGUGAACCAGUACCGUGAGGGAAAGGCGAAAAGAACCCCGGCGAGGGGAGUGAAAAAGAACCUGAAACCGUGUACGUACAAGCAGUGGGAGCACAGGUUUACCUGUGUGACUGCGUACCUUUUGUAUAAUGGGUCAGCGACUUAUAUUCUGUAGCAAGGUUAACCGCAUAGGGGAGCCGGAGGGAAACCGAGUCUUAACCGGGCGUUAAGUUGCAGGGUAUAGACCCGAAACCCGGUGAUCUAGCCAUGGGCAGGUUGAAGGUUGGGUAACACUAACUGGAGGACCGAACCGACUAAUGUUGAAAAAUUAGCGGAUGACCUGUGGCUGGGGGUGAAAGGCCAAUCAAACCGGGAGAUAGCUGGUUCUCCCCGAAAGCUAUUUAGGUAGCGCCUCGUGAAUUCAUCUCCGGGGGUAGAGCACUGUUUCGGCUAGGGGGCCAUCCCGGCUUACCAACCCGAUGCAAACUGCGAAUACCGGAGAAUGUUAUCACGGGAGACACACGGCGGGUGCUAACGUCCGUCGUGAAGAGGGAAACAACCCAGACCGCCAGCUAAGGUCCCAAAGUCAUGGUUAAGUGGGAAACGAUGUGGGAAGGCCCAGACAGCCAGGAUGUUGGCUUAGAAGCAGCCAUCAUUUAAAGAAAGCGUAAUAGCUCACUGGUCGAGUCGGCCUGCGCGGAAGAUGUAACGGGGCUAAACCAUGCACCGAAGCUGCGGCAGCGACGCUUAUGCGU